rnacentral:lncRNA from 1 species
GCUCAGGUCACGUUCUGAGCCUGCUUCUCACUCCUGGCCCCUCCCAUCCUCCUGGUUCCGCCGUGGACAAGCUGAAGUCUCUCUGGGGCCAGGGGACCCGCACGGCCCAGCCGCCCCACCCCACCAUCUCCCAGGCAUGUGAGAAAAUAUCACAUUCUCUGUGUUUUGGAGAUUUCUUCUAAAUGUAUUUUCCAACUAUCAUUUCAUAGCAAAUCAGCAAGAAAAAAGGGGCUUCCUGGAGCUCCUGCAACCCCAGGCAUUAGUUCCAGUGCAGUUCUAGGAUCAGAUCAAUUCACUCGACAACAAGAGAAACAAAUGGAGAUUCCUACACAAAGACUUUCAAGCACAAAGAAAUCCUGCUGCCUAUAAAGCAGAGCUGCCUCAGCUCUUGAUGAACGACAGAAAAUCUCAAAUUCCAGGAAUUCAGAUGAAGUGAAGUGCUCUCAUGGGGACCAGGCGUGGGUAUGCCAGUCCACUGCCCUGCAAGUCUCAAGGGAAACCAACUGCCCAUCAGCAAGUCACACCUGCCUUGGUGGAGGCAUUGAUUGGAAGGGCCACAGGCUACAUGUCCAGUCCUGAGUGGGAGAAUCGGUGUAGGGAUGUUCUGGGGAUGCUGGCUGUGGCUAGAUCAGGUCCAGCUACAGAAGAAUAAUGAAGACUUCACCUGAGGGCUGGAAAAACAAAACCUCAAGUGUGAGGCAGCCAACCUAUUACCUCGAGGGACUGUCCCGCAGCACAGCAGGGCCAUGGGAACAGCAGCAGACACCCCGGCCUCCUCACUACCU